rnacentral:rRNA from 1 species
UACGUAGGGCGCAAGCGUUGUCCGGAAUUAUUGGGCGUAAAGAGCUCGUAGGCGGUUUGUCGCGUCUGCUGUGAAAUCCUCAGGCUCAACCUGGGGCUUGCAGUGGGUACGGGCAGACUAGAGUGCGGUAGGGGUGAUUGGAAUUCCUGGUGUAGCGGUGGAAUGCGCAGAUAUCAGGAGGAACACCAAUGGCGAAGGCAGAUCUCUGGGCCGUAACUGACGCUGAGGAGCGAAAGCAUGGGGAGCGAACAGG